rnacentral:ncRNA from 1 species
UCGGUCCCGGUUCACGUCGCACCAGCAGGUGGGACGACCCGGCACC